rnacentral:rRNA from 1 species
GACGAACGCUGGCGGCGUGCCUAACACAUGCAAGUCGAACGGGGCCGGGGGCAACUCCGGCUCAGUGGCGGACGGGUGCGUAACACGUGAGGAACGUACCCAUCGGUGGGGGAUAGCCGGCCCAACGGCCGGGUAAUACCGCGUACGACCUUCGGGGGGCAUCCCUCGGGGGUGAAAGCAGCAAUGCGCCGAUGGAGCGCCUCGCGGCCUAUCAGCUAGUUGGUGGGGUAAUGGCUCACCAAGGCGACGACGGGUAGCUGGUCUGAGAGGAUGAUCA